CAAGAAGAGGAUUUGUUGUGGCUCCCUUUCCUCUUUUUGCCCAGCCACCUUCUCAGGUCAGUGAAGAGCAGAAGCCCGAGCAGCCCCUGCCCAGCCGCCACCCGUUCGCUGGGAGCGUCUAGAUGAGAGGCAGCGCUCUUCAGCGGAGCUUCCUUUGCUAGGCCAGGAAGCGAGGUCUCCUUCUCCUUGGCGUGGCGCUACAGGAUGAAGCCCAGACCUGGGCCCAGGAAUCUCAAGCACCAACAUCUGAGUAAGCUUUCAGCUCAGGAGAGGACCAGUGAUAAAAGAGCCACACUAAAAAUAAGUAAGUCACAAGGAAAGUGUGAAUUUUCUGCAAGCAAAUUUCUUCUUCAUAAAUGCAAAGUGCCAGGGUACAACACUUGCUUUCAGAGAUGGAUGGGAGACUGGCAUGCAGCCCCAAGGACUUCAGUGCACCCAGGAGUUACAUAUGGCAUGUUCAAAGCAGCAAACGCGGAAGACAUCUGAGCGGCACAGCACAGAAGAAAGAGGGAAGAUUUCAGAAAGCAAGCGCGGAAGGA
rnacentral:lncRNA from 1 species